rnacentral:rRNA from 1 species
UACCAGCACCCCGAGUGGUCGGGACGUUUAUUGGGCCUAAAGCAUCCGUAGCCGGUUCUACAAGUCUUCCGUUAAAUCCACCUGCUCAACAGAUGGGCUGCGGAAGAUACUAUGGAGCUAGGAGGCGGGAGAGGCAAGCGGUACUCGAUGGGUAGGGGUAAAAUCCGUUGAUCCAUUGAAGACCACCAGUGGCGAAGGCGGCUUGCCAGAACGCGUUCGACGGUGAGGGAUGAAAGCUGGGGGAGCAAACCGG